UACGUAGGGUGCGAGCGUUGUCCGGAAUUACUGGGCGUAAAGAGCUCGUAGGUGGUUUGUCGCGUUGUUCGUGAAAACUCACAGCUUAACUGUGGGCGUGCGGGCGAUACGGGCAGACUGGAGUACUGCAGGGGAGACUGGAAUUCCUGGUGUAGCGGUGGAAUGCGCAGAUAUCAGGAGGAACACCGGUGGCGAAGGCGACUACCUGGCCCAUUCUUGACGCUGAGGCGCGAAAGCUAGGGGAGCGAACGGG
rnacentral:rRNA from 1 species